GAUGAACGCUGGCGGCGUGCCUAAUACAUGCAAGUCGAGCGAACAGACGAGGAGCUUGCUCCUCUGACGUUAGCGGCGGACGGGUGAGUAACACGUGGAUAACCUACCUAUAAGACUGGGAUAACUUCGGGAAACCGGAGCUAAUACCGGAUAAUAUAUUGAACCGCAUGGUUCAAUAGUGAAAGACGGUUUUGCUGUCACUUAUAGAUGGAUCCGCGCCGCAUUAGCUAGUUGGUAGGGUAACGGCUUACCAAGGCAACGAUGCGUAGCCGACCUGAGAGGGUGAUCGGCCACACUGGAACUGAGACACGGUCCAGACUCCUACGGGAGGCAGCAGUAGGGAAUCUUCCGCAAUGGGCGAAAGCCUGACGGAGCAACGCCGCGUGAGCGAUGAAGGUCUUCGGAUCGUAAAACUCUGUUAUUAGGGAAGAACAAAUGUGUAAGUAACUAUGCACGUCUUGACGGUACCUAAUCAGAAAGCCACGGCUAACUACGUG
rnacentral:rRNA from 1 species